rnacentral:lncRNA from 1 species
CUGCUUGUUUUACACACAGGAAAGUUGAACAUACGUCUGUUCCUUAGUUCAAUAUCAGUUUCGUUUAGUUUCGGCACCAGAUAAUGCAGUUUAUGGUUGGGAUCAGAACAUAUCUCUUCAAAGAGUUUAUUCGUUAGGUAUUCUCUUCUUUCGUAUGAAGAAAAUAAGUUACUGUUCUUCAGUGCGUCCUGAUAAUUAAUAUUUGGGAAUAUGAUUUGCAUUGCGCGUUUUUGGAUACGUUCUAAUUCAUCUGACAAAUACGUGGGUAAUCCGUUGUGGAAAACAGGACAGGCGUAUUCGGUUAUAGGACGAAUACAAGUCUUGUAGAAAGUUAAAAGUUCCUUUUCGGCAACUUUGGCACGUUUUAGUUGCCUCAGGAAAUACAACCGAGUGGAAGCUUUUUUUGCAAUUUCCUCUAUAUGAUGGUUCCAUUUAAGAUUAUUGGAAAUGUUCAGACCCAGUAAUUUGAUGGUAGUCACAAUUUCUAUUGGUUUAUCAUUGAUAACAAUAGGUGCGUAUUCAGGGUGAUUUUUUGUAAAA